ACUUUUAUAUGUUUAUUUUAUUUAUUUAUUUAUUUAUUUGUGAAUGUCUUCUCCUUGUUUCCUUUAUCAUUUCUUUGUAUUACAUUGCUUAAUAGCUAUCUUGUUAACUUUAAUUUUUAGUAAAAAUGUUAUUCUCCAUUCAUGUUUUCUUUUUUUGUCUUAGAAGUUGUUUUAUGAUAAGCUGAUAUUGCUUUUUUUUUUUUAUAUAAUCUCAUCUAGCUUUCAGUGAGACAGGAAUAACUUAUAGGGAGUAGGCACCAGGAGCUGGGGUUUUUUAUGCAUCAUUUUAACAUUUUGAGAUUUUAACCAUUAAUCUUACUAACUUCUAUGCAAUCAAAAAAGUUUUAUUAACUUCUAGGUGUUUUGUUUUCUCUUCAAUUUUUGUGAUUAUUUUACUGCAUUUUCUUUUUCAGUCAGCAGCACUGAUUGGAAAUUUUAACAAUUGGAACCUAAUGCAGAUAUUAUGGGCCGGAAUGAGUUUGGUGUCUGGGAGAUCUUUUGGCCUAAUAAUGCUGAUAUUUCACCACCAAUUCCCCAUGGUUCUCAAGUGAAGGAGCCAAUAAUUAGCACAUAUGCCAACUUUAGAGAUGAUGUGCUUCCCCACAUUAAAAGACUUGGAUAUAAUGCUGUUCAAAUCAUGGCUAUUCAAGAGCACUCGCAUUAUGUUAGAUUUGGGUAUCAUGUGACAAACUUCUUUGCACCAAGUAGCCGUUUUGGCACCCUUUAUGAUCUUAAGUCACUGAUAGAUAGGGCUCACGAGUUGGGUCUACUUGUUCUUAUGGAUAUUGUGCACAGAUGGAUUGAACAUGUUUGAUGGAACCAAUGCUCAUUACUUCCACUCGGGGUCAAAGGGUCACCACUGGAUGUGGGAUUCUCGCCUUUUUAAUUGUGGAAGCUGGGAAGUACAAAGGUUUCUUCUUUCAAAUGCAAGAUGGUGGCUUGAAGAAUGCAAGUUUGACGGGUUCAGAUUUAAUGUUGUGACUUCAAUGAUUACACCUAUCAUGGGUUGCAGUUAAUAUCUGAGUGAGUUUGCAGAUUUUCUAUUCUGCUUGGUGUUAUAUAAUAAGUUACUCGCAUGUUUAGAUGUUAAUUAUCAAAGUUUUGAC